rnacentral:rRNA from 1 species
AUUGAACGCUGGCGGCAGGCCUAACACAUGCAAGUCGAACGAGUGGCGGACGGGUGAGUAACGUCUGGGAAACUGACUGAGGGAGGGGGAUAACUAUUGGAAACGGUAGCUAAUACCGCAUACCAUCAGAUGUGCACAGAUGGGAUUAGCUUGUUGGUGGGGUAACGGCUCACCAAGGCGAAGAUCCCUAGCUGGGCUGAGAGGCUGACCAGCCACACUGAAACUGAGAGACGGUCCCGACUCCUACGUGAGACCGCAGUGGGUACGUUUGGACAAGGGGCGCAAGCCUGAUGCAGCCAUGCCGCGUGUAUGAAGAAGGCCUUCGGGUUGAAAUGUACUUUCAGCGGGGAGGCGUUACCCGCAGAGGAGGCGCCGGCUAACUCCGUGCCAGCAGCCGCGGUAAUUC